CAGCGUCACUUUCCAGGCCGGCCAGCAGUGAGUCUCCACAUCCCAUUUUUCACCUCGUUCUCUGUCGAGCCUCAGCUUCUCCAAAAUGAGCUUCAGAAGAUCCAACGUGCAGCAGAUACCUUCUUCCCACAUCUCCAUCACCCGAUCCAUGCCGCAGCACCGUGCUGCCAGCAUUUAUGGUGGUGCUGGUGGACAGGGCGCCCGCAUCUCCUCCAUCUCCACAUCGUCCCUCCGGUCUGGUGCCCCAAUGACCUCCUCUUCCUCUUCCUUCAAGCUGAGCAGCGGAAUGGGCUCUGGUAUUGGUGGUGCCGGUGCAUCAGCUGGUGGCGGUGUCAGUUCUGGGAUCAUUGGCAACGAGAGGGGAGCCAUGCAGAACCUGAACGACCGCCUGGCCAACUACCUGGAGACGGUGAGGAACCUGGAACAGACCAACAAGGAGCUGGAGAUGAAGAUCAUGGAGGCUCUGGAGAAGGGGGGGCCUGACAUGAGAGACUACAGCAAGUAUGAACCCAUCAUAGAUGACCUACGCAGGCAGAUCUUUGACAAGAUUGCGGAGAACGCUCGUUUUGUGCUCCAGAUCGACAAUGCCCGUCUUGCUGCCGACGACUUCAAAGUGAAGUUCGACAAUGAGACGGCAAUCCGCCAGUCUGUGGAGGCCGACAUCGCCGGGCUGAAGAAAGUCAUAGAUGACACCAACAUGACCAGGAUGAACAUCGAGAGUGAGAUCGAAGCUGUGAGGGAGGAACUGGCCUUCCUAAAGAAGAACCACGAGAAUGAGGUGAUGGAGCUGAGGAAUCAGAUCUCCCAAUCAGGCGUGCAAGUGGACGUUGACGCUCCCAAAGGUCAGGACCUGUCCCAGAUCAUGGAGGACAUGAGGUCCAACUAUGAGAAGAUUGCUGUGAAGAACGCAGAGGACCUCAAACGAUGGCAUGAAAAUCAGAUUGCGGAUGUGCAGGUGCAGGUAUCACAGAACACAGAGGCUCUCCAGGGAGCCCAGACAGAGAUAGGGGACUUAUCCAGACAGAUACAGACCCUGGAAAUUGAACUUGCAUCGCAGCAGAGCUUAAAAGCCUCCUUAGAGGACACAUUACGCAACACAGAGCUACGAAACAACAUGGAAAUGGAGAAGUACAACGGCAUUAUUAUCCGCCUGGAGGAGGAGCUGACCAAUUUGCGCGGAAACAUCCAGCAACAGACCCAAGAGUAUGAGGCGCUGCUCAACAUGAAGAUGAAACUGGAGGCCGAAAUUUCCGCUUACAAGGGUCUGCUGGAUGGUGGAGACUUCAAGUAAGAGUUAUAGAGAGGUGGAGGAGAAAAAACAGGUCGAGGCAUGGUGAUGAUGGUGGUGGAGGCUCCAGGAUGCACUGGACGAGCUGGCGGCCACAAUCUAAUUUGGAACAAAGAAUCUGGGACCAUCCCAAAGCAGAGAAACCCACAACUAUUCAUUAUGAAAAAAUUCCAUGCUCGUCCAAUUAACUAAAGCCUGUUUUGAACCGAGACCGCAUACUGUGGAAACCAUAAAUGAUUUAAGCAAUUCUGAAUAAAGGCAUCGGACCACACCACAGUGAAACAGG